rnacentral:rRNA from 1 species
CCCUUAGAUGUCCUGGGCUGCACGCGCGCUACACUGACGAACUCAACGAGCUUAUCACCUUGGCAGAGAUGUCUGGGUAAUCUUUUGAAAGUUCGUCGUGCUGGGGAUAGAUGAUUGUAAUUAUUCGUCUUGAACGAGGAAUUCCUAGUAAGUGUGAGUCAUCAGCUCGCGCUGAUUACGUCCCUGCCCUUUGUACACACCGCCCGUCGCUCCUACCGAUUGAAUGGUCCGGUGUGGUUCUCGGAUUUUUUCUGUUGUUUGGUUCGCUAAACGAUUGAAGAGAGAAGUUACCCAAACCUUACCAUUUAGAGGAAGGAGAAGUCGUAACA